AUGGUCCAGGAGCAGCACCUGGGCAUGGAGGUUUGCAGCAGCUCCUCCUGCGUGCCUCGUCUGGGUAGCAGGCAGGAACCCAAGGAGGCACCCUGGAGAGGACUUGAAGAUGGUGGCAUACAUCCAUCCAUCAGGCCUCGCACCAGGAGGCACCCAGAGGGAUCCAGAAGGAACGCCCCAGAAAUUGUGGCAGCGUUGGCAAGCUGA
rnacentral:rRNA from 1 species